UUCAAAUACAUAUUAAGGUGUGGCUGUCUAAUGGGUUAAAAAGAACAGAUCGGGUUUGCUAUUCUGUACCAAGGAUUCUGGAAUGCGGUAUAUGGGGAAUUUCCUUAUAUGGCCAAGAGUCUAAACUAAACGUUGUGAUGUAAUUUUGGCUAUAACGGGCAGAGGACAUAGGAUCCGUUUUGCUCUCCUCUCUGAUGUCCUGAGUUGCUGAUAGAAAGACGACUCUCUGUAACGUCGUUAAGAAAUGCCAUCUGUUAAGUAUAUUAUUGUUUGCUGUUGAAGUAGAAUAAAAGCAUAUUUUUUAUAAAGAACAUCUGAUUGUGUAUUAAUACUUUUCAUUAAUAUAGA